rnacentral:rRNA from 1 species
AUGGGCUAAUACCGGAUAAGCCCUUACGGGGAAAGAUUUAUCGCCGAUAGAUCGGCCCGCGUCUGAUUAGCUUGUUGGUGAGGUAACGGCUCACCAAGGCGACGAUCAGUAGCUGGUCUGAGAGGAUGAUCAGCGACAUUGCGACUGAGA